AGUGAACGCUGGCGGUAGGCCUAACACAUGCAAGUCGAACGGCAGCACAGUAAGAGCUUGCUCUUACGGGUGGCGAGUGGCGGACGGGCGAGGAAUACAUCGGAAUCUACUUUUUCGUGGGGGAUAACGUAGGGAAACUUACGCUAAUACCGCAUACGACCUACGGGUGAAAGCAGGGGAUCUUCGGACCUUGCGCGAUUGAAUGAGCCGAUGUCGGAUUAGCUAGUUGGCGGGGUAAAGGCCCACCAAGGCGACGAUCCGUAGCUGGUCUGAGAGGAUGAUCAGCCACACUGGAACUGAGACACGGUCCAGACUCCUACGGGAGGCGGCAGUGGGGAAUAUUGGACAAUGGGCGCAAGCCUGAUCCAGCCAUACCGCGUGGGUGAAGAAGGCCUUCGGGUUGUAAAGCCCUUUUGUUGGGAAAGAAAAGCAGCAGGUUAAUACCCCGCUGUUCUGACGGUACCCAAAGAAUAAGCACCGGCUAACUUCGUG
rnacentral:rRNA from 1 species